CGUUGAUACUUUAAGAGAGAUUCAGCCAUUCUUUGAUAAUAGUAACUCAAAAUGUGUUCAUAGAACCAUAAAAACACAAUGUCAUUUUAGACACCUAAACACCAAAACUGAUAAUCCAAUGUUUUAAUCAAAAACUUUAGAAGCAACAAAAUGAAGCUAACAAAAGAUGAAAUCAACAGAAAAUUGUACUACUAUAUAGUAACGCCCAAUCUAAUCGAAGAGUGAGAAUCCCAUAUCGUCGUCACUCUCUUCUUUCUCUUCCUUCUUCUCCUCAGCUGGAGCUGCUUCUGCAGCUGCCCCACCACCUGAAGGAGCUGCUGCUGCUGCUCCACCACCAAUGAAACCACCGCCGCCGCCACCACCAAUGAUCACCUGGAAAACAGCAGAGGAAGGUGUAACAAAGGAGAAUGAUGACUGAACACCACCAGAAGAGUCAGAAGCAAGAGCAGCUUUAACAAGCUUGCGUUGAAGAUCAUAGGUACAAGAAGCAGAUGCUUCUAGAUCACCCUUGAGUUGCUUAGCACUCCAUUCGUCUCCUGAACCUUUGCAAACGAAGGUGAAAACUCCCAUUUUUGCUCUUCUCUUUCUCUCGAGCUUUUUG
rnacentral:misc_RNA from 1 species